rnacentral:rRNA from 1 species
CCGGCGACCGGCGCACGGGUGAGUAACACGUAUGCAACCUGCCCUCCGCAGGGAGAUAACCCGGAGAAAUCCGGACUAAUACCGCGUGGUACACCAGUGGGGCAUCCCACGGGUGUUAAAAGGAAGCGAUUCCGGCGGAGGAUGGGCAUGCGGCGCAUUAGCUUGUUGGCGGGGUAACGGCCCACCAAGGCGACGAUGCGUAGGGGUUCUGAGAGGAAGGUCCCCCACACUGGUACUGAGACACGGACCAGACUCCUACGGGAGGCAGCAG